AACACUCUUAUUAUUCUUCUUAUCCAUUCUCUACUUUCUUCAUCCUCUCCUAAGUGAAAUUCUAAGGAUUUAAGUCUAGUUUCUUUUCCAAGUUGGAGAAUGAUCCAAGGCAAGAAAAAAGAGAAGCUGCCCUUGGGUGAUUUUAGGGAGUUUUCUUCAACCAAGCAUUCAAGGUUAGGAGCAAGAGUCUUUGGCGGAGCCUAUACUUAAAUCGACUAGCACCAGCCGCUAACUUUUGAGUAUAUCUCAUAUUUUGUACUAGUGACAUGUAAUGUAAAUGAAAUUGUGUAUGUCAGGUCAAAAUCUAAAUUUGAAUAUUUUAUAAAUCUUAAUUUCAAAUAUUUU